rnacentral:rRNA from 1 species
AGAGUUUGAUCAUGGCUCAGAAUGAACGUUGGCGGCGUGGAUUAGGCAUGCAAGUCGAACGAAUCCCCGCAAGGGGGGAAGUGGCGAAAGGGGCAGUAAGGCGUGGACAACCUGCCCCGGGCUCCAGGAUAGCCUUCCUAACGGAUGGGUAAUACUGGGUACGCUCCCGCGGUGGCAUCACCGAGGGAGGAGAGCUCCGGCGGCCCGGGAGGGGUUCACGUGAUAUUAGCUAGUUGGCGGGGUGACGGCCCACCAAGGGGGCGAUGCCUGGCGGGUGUGAGAGCACGACCCGCGCCACCGGCACUGAGACACUGGCCGGACGCCUACGGGUGGCUGCAGUCGAGGAUCUUCGGCAAUGGGCGCAAGCCCGACCGAGCGACGCCGCGUGGGCGACGAAGGCCUUCGGGUUGUAAAGCCCUGUCGAGGGGGAGGAAGGCCGUGAGGCUUGACCUAGCCCUGGAGGAAGCUCGGGCUAAGUUCGUGCCAGCCGCCGCGGUAAUUC